UGCGCAGCCGGAGAGGCGGGGGCCCGACGCGGCCCCCCCGGAGCCGGGCGCCUGGCGCGGGGGCUCGCCGAGAACACGGGGGGCCGCGCGGCGCUGCAGACCCAGCCUCCCGCCGCCGCCGCCGCCGCCUCGGCGUGCAGAACCCAGAAGUGAACAGCAGGCGACCCGGAAGGUUUGCGCGCGGCUCCGCACCGACCGGAGCCGGGAGCCGGAGCCCCAGCCCGGCCCUGCUCGGGCCGCCGGGCGCGGGGCUGCGGCCGCGUGCCGGAGCCGCCGCCGCACAGCCAGGUGCUGUUGGGAACACAGAGGAAGUGACUGGCUGGGGGUUCAGGGAAAGCUCCGUAGAAGAGGGAACACUUGAGCUGGGUCUUGAAGGAUGAGUAGAAGUUCACCAAGUGGGAAAGGACACUCUAGGAUGGCCGAGCCUCGAUUUAACAACCCCUACUUCUGGCCCCCUCCUCCCACCAUGCCCAGCCAGCUGGACAACCUGGUCCUGAUUAACAAGAUCAAGGAGCAGCUGAUGGCGGAGAAGAUCCGACCGCCUCACCUGCCGCCCACGUCGGCCUCGUCGCAGCAGCCGCUGCUCGUGCCGCCAGCGCCCGCCGAGAGCAGCCAGGCGGUCAUGUCGCUGCCCAAGCUGCAGCAGGUGCCGGGGCUGCACCCGCAGUCCGUGCCGCAGCCCGACGUGGCGCUGCACGCGCGGCCGGCCACCAGCACGGUCACAGGUCUAGGGCUCUCCUCCCGGACCCCGGCUGUGAGCACAUCAGAGUCCAGCGCGGGCACGGGCACCAGCACCCCGUCCACACCCACCACCACCAGCCAGAGCCGCCUCAUCGCCUCGUCCCCCACCCUCAUCUCAGGGAUCACCAGCCCCCCCCUCCUGGACUCCAUCAAGACAAUCCAGGGCCAUGGCCUGCUGGGCCCCCCCAAGUCCGAGCGAGGCCGCAAAAAGAUCAAGGCGGAGAACCCAGGGGGCCCGCCUGUCCUGGUAGUCCCUUACCCCAUCCUGGCCUCAGGCGAGACUGCCAAGGAGGGCAAGACAUACAGGUGUAAGGUGUGCCCGCUGACCUUUUUCACCAAGUCCGAGAUGCAGAUCCACUCCAAGUCGCACACAGAGGCCAAGCCCCACAAGUGCCCGCACUGCUCCAAGUCCUUUGCCAACGCCUCCUACCUGGCCCAGCACCUGCGCAUCCACCUGGGCGUCAAGCCCUACCACUGCUCCUACUGUGAUAAGUCCUUCCGACAGCUCUCCCACCUCCAGCAGCACACCAGAAUCCACACAGGCGACAGACCCUACAAGUGCCCGCAUCCUGGCUGCGAAAAGGCUUUCACUCAGCUCUCCAAUCUCCAGUCUCACCAGCGCCAGCACAACAAGGACAAGCCCUACAAGUGUCCCAACUGCUACCGGGCCUACUCAGACUCCGCCUCCCUGCAGAUCCACCUGUCCGCGCACGCCAUCAAGCAUGCCAAGGCCUACUGCUGCAGCAUGUGCGGGCGGGCCUACACCUCCAGUCAUUUCCUAGUUUGGAUUUUGCUGAUUGCUUCCCUCUGAUGUUGUGUGACAGCAUGUGGCCACCACUUUUGAGGGUUUUCUCUGCCGGAUUCUGAGCAGAUUGAGGAGACCUACCUGAUGAAGCACAUGUCCAAACACACGGUGGUGGAGCACCUGGUGAGCCAUCACUCGCCCCAGAGGACGGAGUCCCCCGGCAUCCCGGUGCGAAUUUCCCUCAUCUGAGCCGACCCCAGGCGCCGCCCUGCCCACUGGCAGACACAGACCCGGGCAGCACCAGGCCCGACCCCCUCCAGGGCCCUCCAGGAACAGCCGAGCUCUCAAUGACCUUCCUGACCUUCCAGAAAGCCUGGGCACAGAAGCCCUGCCCGGCCCAGCUCCGGGUGGCCAGGCCAACCGCAAGAUACUGGACUGUUUGGUGGCAUCCAAAGACGAUCUCAGAGCACUUUGAACCUCUCUCUGUUGGGUUUUCUUUUUCCCUCCACCCUUCACUUGCUUCACUCUUGUUUUUUUUAAGUUUGUUUUGGAAAUAACAAAAAAGAUAUUUAUUGGCCAAGAAGUUGGUGCUGCUAAGACCGAGAAAUUAAGAGUUGGACAGAUGGACACAGAGAACCAGAGGGCAGCGUGGGACCGCCUCUUGCCAUGGCCUUAGGUCUUGAGGGAAGGCUCAGGCCUGGGCUUCUGGACUGCAAAGGGGGGGGGGGCUGGCGGGAGGGGCAGGAGGCAGCUGGAGCAAGCCCCUCACCCUGGGUGCCCAGCCUGGACCUCGAGCUGCACCCCGAGCAUCACUGGCCAGAGGGAGGCGGCAGCCAGCAGAGCUGCCCAGACUUCAGGAGGCAAAACGAGAGGGGCCGGGGGAUCAGAAGGACCAAAGGCUGCAGUGCUGGGCUGGGCUGGGUGCAGCCCAGGGAAAUGGGGCGGGGUGGGCUGGGUAAGACCUGGACCCCCAAUGCCCUUAAGACCACCCCAGUCUACCUCGGUGCUGGCCAGGAAACCUAUUGGCUACCUCUCCCACCAUCCCAGACUGUGGGCAGGGGGAUGGGGAGGGAGUGGGUGUGGGGCUAGGACCCCCUCCAUCAUCUCCUCCAGAUGGGACAUUACCCAGGGAGGGGAUACUUGUCUUCCCUGCCAUGGAGGGGGAACCCCCAGCCCAGGCCCUCAGCCCCUCGGUAGGGAAGGGGUCCUCCGAAAGGAGGGUCCCAGGAGCUGCCCCUGCCCUCAGCCCCCACAGACACACCCCGAUCUGAAAGCCAUGCGUGUCCGUGUAUAUAGGAACCGUGUACAGAGACCGGAGAAGCCCCACUCCAUCCCCCGGGAAAAAAAAAAAAAAAAAACUAGACAGAAACUCAUCUAUAUAUUCUGUAUCUGGAGUUCCGUUUUGAAUAUUAACUGUGUUAUUUUUAUACACUUUUUAAGCCUUAACUCACCAUUGAUUUACCAGUUUAACGUCUCCUGGGGUUUCUUCUCCCACAGGGUUCUCUGCCCCCGCCCGCCCCACCCCUCUGUUUGACUUGCGUCGUCUGAUACUCAGUAUUGUAGCUUUUGUCCGCAUGUUACUGCCCUGUAAAUACGCUGUUAUACACACUGUUAACACCCUCUGCUUUUUCUAUGGGACCUCCAGGCCACCUUAUUUAGAACUAGUUACCUUAUUAAAAAAGAGAAAACAGUCUGUUGGCCUCUCAGUCUGCAUCUUGGUGGCAGGGAGGUGAGGGCAGGCGCCCCUCAACGCGUCAGGAAGGAGGUUUGCAUUACAUUUAAGAAAAGGGGUGGGGAGUGAAAAAAAUCCAAUGUGGGGGAAAAACACUAAAGGGGGCAAGACACACAGGAAUUCUAAACCCCCUGCUCUUUGUAUUUCUCUGUUGUGAAGAAUAAACAUACCUGCACCCGG